GAAUUUGAGGGCAAUGUGUUAGUGACAACUGUCACAUCAUUGAUUGCUGGGGUUUGUUCAGCUUGACUACCUGGGCAGGUAUCUCUUCCUCCCUCAUUAUUCCAGUGUGUCCCUUCCAAACCUCCAUGCUCAGUGAAAGGGGACCACCAUCCCAGAGAAGAGAAAUAUCUGAUUUUUUUGUUUGUUAAGGGUACACAGUAGCACUAGUCCCCUGCCAGACACUCCAAAGAAGUUCAAGGUCCAUCUUGCCAGUGCAUCUGUAAGAUUUACCUUUGAACACCACCUCGAAACUGCACUAAUCAGAAUGUGAUGGU
rnacentral:snRNA from 1 species